rnacentral:rRNA from 1 species
UACAGAGGGUGCAAGCGUUAUCCGGAUUUAUUGGGCGUAAAGCGUUUCGUAGGUUUCUAGAUAAGUUAUUCUUCAAAGACCACGGCUCAACCGGGGGAAGGGGAGUAAUACUAUCUGGAUUGAAAUAUGGUGGGGCUUCCGGAACUGAUGGUGUAGUAGUGAAAUACGUUGAUAUCAUCAGGAACUCCGAGGGCGAAGGCAGGAAGCUAACCAUUUUUUGACACUGAUGAACGACAGCUAGGGGAGCGAAAGGGAUUAGAAACCCCGGUAGU